GUUAAAAUCAAUUUGAAAAUCAGAAAGUAAACAUUUUCUAAAAAAAAUGUAUUUUAAACACAUAGUAAAACUUAUAAUAGAGAUAUUUAGAGGAUCAAUUUAACAACUUUAUAAGUUAAAAUGACAUGACACAUUUCCACACUUGGCAUUCACUGAUUGGGUAUAAGAGAAACAACAUUAUAACCCCCUCUCACCAACUAACAUGUAAAAGUUUGCCUUUUUUAUAAGCCAAAUAUCGUAAAAACUCAAGUAUCCCUUACACGUAGAUAUGAGAUUUUAUUAUAUAAUUAUUAUCGAAAUACAACAUAAUCAUAUAAAGUUCAAUCGCUUAGCGAGGAUCGUGACAACUCAUGGGGAGAUUACACCAUCUCUUUAUUCUCUCUUUGCUAGUUAUUGCCAUAACACAAGUACUGACUCAACAAGGGUAAAUACCCUCGUGCAAUUCCAGCUGCUCAGUUUACCCUGCAAUUACAACUUACUCACAAGUUAUAUUUAUAGACAUAGCUAGCUAGUAAGCAAGCAAGCAAUUUCUCUUGCAGAAGCAGAAUGGGUGAAUUUCGUGGAAGCAAAUCAAAAAAUUGUACGUAUGAGUGAUCGCAGGCUGUUUUCUUCUUUAAGAUGAAACACGGAAAAAAUCGCACACGAUCAUGUUUUUCCGUUCUUGCUUAAAGGGAAUUUGAAAUUGCGACCAUGCAAUUGAAAAACGCUGCUUUCUUGUUUUCUUUCAUUGAUUCAAAGCAUCUAAUUCAUCAAUCAAGAAUGAUACGUGUAGCACGUUGUUUUUGUUCAUUGAAAAACGCUUCUUUCUUGACAUUAUUACAAUAUAUAACAUUCAUAUCUAUCAUUUAUAAUAUAUCUCUAGUCCUCCCAAAAGUUGUACACAAAUUCAUGACUCAUGAGUACCUAUUAAAACAUAAUUGUUUUUUAUUACCAAGAUAUCCCCACAAUUGAUAACAAUGAGACUAAUCUUCUCGAAGCUUGAAGAUCAUAUUAAACGGAUAAACUCUUUUUAAUAAAUCAUUCUUCAUACAUAUUACUCUAAGAUUGAAUCCUCGACUAAACUUAAGGAGCUUAGUUAUCUACCAACUCAAAACUAUGACUAAAACGACUUUUAUCAAAUUCAAAAGAGUAAUGCAGGUUACAUUAACUUAAUAUUGUUUGUAAAAUUAACUACAUUAUGCAAUAAUAACCUCAAUUGCCACACAAAUGUAUAUCAUAUCAGAUACUACCUCCGGUCCUAUUUAUAAAAAUCAAAGUUAAAAAAAAUUUUGGUCAUUUCUAUAAGAACCAAAUGAAAGUUUGUGUUAUAUUAAUUAUUUUUUUUCCAAUGAUACUCUUAUUAUUUCCAACUAGUAAAAGUGUAUCAUUAAUUAUUCUCUCUCCUUCACACUCUUCAACACUAAGGUUAUGUUUGGCACGCCUAGCUAAUAAGCUAGCUAAAAGAUGAAAAACUAGCUGAAAACUUAUAAGCUAGUUGAAAGCUGAAAGUUGAUAAGCUAGCUGAAAGCUGAAAAGCUACGUGAUUGGAACAAAAGUGUUUGGUAAAACUAACUAUUGAACAAGCUAAAUUUGUAAAAUGACAUAAAAGGACAUACUUAUAUAAUUUUUUUAUAUUUAACAUUAAUUUGUUUUCACACUAAUACCUAUAUGAUAUUAAUAUUAACUUUAAAUAUUUUGAUUCCACUCAAGUUAUUUAUCAUCUUAAAAAUAUAAUAUUAAUUAUUACUUAUUUAAUUUUCUAUAUUUUUAUUAAAUUAAAUAUAAUAAAACAAAUAAUUUGUAAUUUGUAAUAUAAAGUUAAAUAUAAUGCACAGCUGCUUGUGCGUUAGUGUUGUGUGGAACGGUAUGCAUAUGAGAUAAGUGUGAUAACUGAUAAGUAAAUAGGUUUAGUAAAAAACAUAUAAGGCUAAAGGUGAAAUUUUAAUAAAAUAAUAAGGAUAAAAAUGAGAAUAUAUUUAAUAAGUUAUAAGCUACCUAAACUACUGAAAUAAGCUCAUUCACCAAACAUUUUUAAAAAGUUUUUAAGCUAGUAAAAUAAGCUUUAAGCUAGCUGAAAUAACAUGUCAAAAAUAGCCUAAUACUACUACAUUAGAAAAAAGAGUAAUUUUGGAAGUUUAUUUUAAUUUAGGACAAAUAUAAUGCAUUGUAACUAAUUGAACUACAUUUCUUAAACUAUGAGAUUUUUUUCAGUUUUUAUAAAUAAGACGGGAGGUAGUACCAUGCUAAGCUUUAUUACAAAUAUGAGGAUUGAUGAGGAAUUAAACAGCAACACCAUGUCCUAGCUAUAUCUUAUCAUGAACUUUUGUGCCAUACAUAAUAUAUUAUAUGAGCAAUUAAAUAUGAAAUUUAGAAGAAAAUAUAGGGUUAAAUGUUUUCGGUCUCCUUAAAAUUGCAAAUUAUUGAUUUUGUCCCCUUAAUUUUUUUUAUUAAUGUUAGUCCCUCAUUUAUAAAAAUGAUGAGGUUUUAGUUCUUUAUCCAUUUUAAUAUGCAUUUUGUCGCGGCUUUUUAGAAGGUUUAAACCGUCACUAAUAUAUUUUACGUCAGUUUUUGUGUAUUAGUGACGGUUAAAUUGCCUCAAAAUGCUCCACAUCAGAAUUAAAAUGGAUAGAGGGAUCAAAACAUGAUCAUUUUCAUAAAUCAAAGAUUAAAAUCAAUGAAAAAUCAAAGAAGACUAAAAUCAAUAAUUCACUAUUAAAAAAUAUAUUUAACCCAAAAAAAUAUAUGAAGUGAAUCUUCCAAACCUUUAUAUAAGUGACAGAGUAGCUAGUCUAUCAAUUAUAAGAUUAUACGUUUGAAAACAAAUUAAAGCUGGUGUAUCUAUCAAUUGGGUACCAAAUAUAAACAACUUUUUUAUAAGCGAUAGAUAUGGUAGUUUGAAUGGGAAAAAAAACCAAAAAGAAAACCCCUAUGGUAAAUGAAAAUAUACGGUAAUUAAUUAAUAAAUUUAAAAAGUAGUUUAAGUAAUUGAAUUUUACAUGAAUUUUUUUUUCCCACACUUGUCUUACUAGCUAAAUGAGCUUGCUUGCAAAUGAGCUUUGCUGUGCAUGUUAUUUGUAUGGCAGAGAUGAUGUGGCACGCCACGUGUGUUAAUGAGAACCAAAAUCAAACAAUUUUUCCCUCGUGUGUUAAGGAGUGACAAGGCCCUUGAGUCAAUUGUUUGAUUUCUAACGUUGUAUGAUUAGGGAUCGAUCUGGUAUUAAUUUCUGAUACCCAUUAGCCAUCUUCUCCAAAGUUUUGAUAUCUUUACCAUAAUUUUUCCAAAUUUAACAAAACAAUAAGAUUUUCAAUGUUCGUGGAGAUUAUGGGUUCGACACACUUCGAGGAGUGGUAGAAGUGAAGGAGAGGACGGGGUGGCUGUGGAGGCUUGAGGUUUAAACUGAAAUUGAGUUUCUGAAAAUGCAUCAAGAUGAGGAAUUUGAAUUGGGAGUGCAAGUGUUUAAUUAGUUUAUAAUUAGAUUACUAAUGAGAUAAUAAAAUUGAAGUGGGAAAAUGUUUGAUUUAGGUAUUGAUCAAAACACGAGAUCAGGCACAUUAUCUCCGCCGCACAUUAACACUUGACAUGCUCACCAUACCUCAUUUUCAAGAGAUAACUAAAAGCGGGGUUGGUGGUGGCAGUGGCGACAUUAAUAGUUGUGGUGGUGAUAGCGGCGGUGACGGUGGUGGUAGUGGCAAUGGUAGUGAUGAUAGAAGUUGCAGCUUGUUUCAUUUUCACUUAAAAUGAAAAUGAUUUUUUUCUUAUGUUUUGGUCAUAUUUUAAAAAAUGUUUUUGAAAAAAAUAUUUUCUAAAUAUUAAUCGAAUAUGUUAUCAGCUGUAUUUUUUAUUUAUAUUGAAAAUGAAAAUAGGAAAUGGGUCAAUUCCUACUUUACUAGUAUUUUUUUGAAAUUUACUUUACUUGGUAUAGUGAUAUCAAGGAAGUAAAAAUCAUUAAGCGGCUUUCAAGAUCUCAUUUUAAUUACCAGCUAAACAUACUAUUACUAUUGUCUUUAAUAAUGGGAAUCUUUUCAAUUGGUGCAAUUAACUAAAUUAAUAAAGCAUUAACCUAGACAGAAUCCCAACUAAUCUGACCCUUGUCAUUAAUCAACAGUUCAAAUUAAUUAAGUUAGAUCGAUGACCUCUCGUCAAUGAACAAUCUAUACCUAUUUUAAAAAUAUGUAAUAAUACUUAUGGAUCAAAUUAAAAUAGUUCCACUCUCUUCGUUCCAUGUGAUCAGAUUGCUUUCUCAUGGAAUAAACACUAUACACAUACAGAGCAAGCCUUAAUGCAUGUGCUUCUUCUUUUAUUUGCAAGUACGGAUGAAGUUGCCGGCAUUGACCCAUUAUAUAGGUGUUUUGAAAUAAGUAAUUAGUAAUUAUGUAUACACAACUCAUUUUCUUUUUGAUCAUAUCAUUUUCAUACAUUUUUCUUGUUUCUGCAUUUUCUAAAUAGAUCACAUAUUUCUCUUUUUUCUCUUCUUUAAGGUGAAGGGCUGAAAGUGGAAAUAAAUUGUUAACAUAACAUUAUUCGUUUAGAAACUGAUAAGUCACUCCGAUCAGACUAGAGACUAGAGACAGGGGCGGAACUUGGAGAGGACAUAAGGGAGCCAUGGCUCCUUCAAAAUUCUUAGAAAACUCUUACAUAAUGCCCAUGAUAAAAAAAAAAUGUUUCACUCAUAUUAUAUAUACUGUAAUUUGUAUACUGUCACACAAACUUCAUGGUGACUUGGUGGAAAGUCAUCAUUCCUCUCUUUUUUAGAUACUGGGUUCGAAUCCCGUAUAUGUCAGUAUUUAGGUUACUUUUUUCUGUUUCACUCCCUUAACUAGCUUUAGGUUAGUGUGUAGAAUUUUUAAAAUGUCUUUUUAAAUAAUUUUUUUUGAUAAUCUCUUUAAAUAUUUAUUUGUUUUCUCUACUAUUAUUUAAAUUUUUAUUUAAGUCAACAUUAUUAAUGAUAAAAAAAUUCAGAAAACAAAUUAUCAAAAGGUAAUAUAAAUUCAGUCAACAUUAUUAAUAUAUAUAUAUAUAUAUAUAUAUAUAUCAAGAAGGUAAAAAUUGAAAAAAAAUGAGAAGUAAGUUUUUAAUUAUUAACAUAACUUUUAAUAAAUUUUCAAUAUUCAUGUAUAUAAAUUUCAUCUUUAUUUUCUUUUGUAUGAAUAUAUACAUGUAUUGUUGAUAAAAUAUUUUAAUUUAUGUAUUGAAAUUUUAUUUCGGCUCCCUUAAAAUUUUCCUCCAAGUUCCGCCACUGGACAUGGAGUUCUUAAAAAUAAGAACUAGUUCUUAUAUAAGAAGUUUUACUUUUUGAGUUAUUAGCAUAAAAAAAUUAUUUUUUCUUUCUCAUUCAUCAACUUAUUUAAUUUAAGUAUUGAAUUAGAAUUUAAAUUUAAAUCAAAAUUAUAUGAAAAUAAAAAAUAUUACUAAUAUAAUGGUAUUGUGAGACCAGAUGAAUAGUGCUAAGAACUAAGAACUCAUGGUUGGAGCAAAUCUACAGAGAGUUGCUUAAGCACAUGUGGCACUACGUGCUCACAUGAAUAGUGCCAAAAAUUAAGAACUAAGAACUAAGAAACUAGCAUUGAAGAUGCUCUAAGUACUCUCUCCAUGGUAAGUCAUGGUUUUCUCUCAGUCAUGUUUGUUUUGUUACCAAAAUGAAGUAUAUGAGAUUCUGCAUCUGUGAUUAUUAGGUUUGGAUUUAGUCCUUGUGAGAGCGACCAUAGUGUUCAACACCUUGUACUGCAUUUAAAGAAGAAUAUUUUGACACACAUCAGGACAGUGCGUUCGUCUGUAACACAAUGUUCUGGAGAGCUUCUUGCGCAACCAAAAAUCAAUCCAAAUAGUGUAAAUAAAAGCAAUGUAAGUGCUAUUACUUUACGUUCUGGAAAAACAACUAACUCUCCUGCACCCCUUAAAAUUUUCCUCCAAGUUCCGCCACUGACUAGAGACCCGUUCAGUCACAUGAAAAUGAAAAAAUCCUGAACUGGUUGAACUGGUAUGCAUCGAUGCCUAGAAUCGGUGUUAUAGACCAAGUUAAACAAGUGAAUUUUUUGCAUUUUAAAAAAAAAACUAAGUAUUUUAACUAUUUAUUUUUUUAUCAUAUAAAUUAAAUAAGAUAGUUGAGGACAUAUGAGUUGAGAGGGGAGGUACAUGGAUUAAUCUUUAAAUGGUGCAAUUUAUCUUUUCAAUAUAAAAAAUAUAUAAAUUAAAUAAGAUGAAAAAUUUAUUAUAAUUGAAAAUUCAAUCAUUCUAAUUUUUUUUAAUAUUGUAUAUGAAUGUAUUACAUAGUAACUAUAGUUUAAUGAUGCUUGUCAAUGUGUGGUGCCUUAAAUGAUAUAGACCAAUAGAAAACAUAGAAUUUAAACUUAGAGGAAGAGGAUUAAGGAAGAUUUGGAGGUUCAAUAUAGGUGGAGAAUGAAGGAAGAUGAUCUUAACAUGGAAGAAAUUUAAAUGAUCUCUCGGAGUUAUAAGUUCAACUAAAAACCUUAAUUUUCAAAUUGUGCAUUACAUAACAUAAACAAACUUAAGAACUAUAUGUUAUUAAUUCAUCAAGUCGAUCAUAGAACUUUUUAAAAUUAUAAUAAUACAUACUUUCAUCUUUCUUUAACCAAAUAACAAAAUUAUAACUUAAAAUAUCAUAUGGAAUACAACACCAAAAAAAAAUCUGCGUACCCCAAAAUUCACCCAAUAUAAUUGUGGUUCAACUAUUAAAUCUUGAACUGAUGUUUCGACUAAUUCAUGAUUGGUCCGACUUUUUAAUAUUGAUUUAUAUCAUACAACUUGCAGCCAUGCAUGGAUAUUUGGAGGAAGCUGACUUUUAUGCCUCUUUCAGUGCAUGAGAGAUUUGUAAAAGGGCACGUGCAUACGAUUAUUUAGAAAAGUAAAUUUUAAACUCUAUUUUUAAUAAUGAGUUUGGAUCUCACUUGGAAACUGAUGCCAUUUUUUUGAAGAAACUUGAUAAUGGUUAUAGGAGUAGGAUUAGUAUAAUCAGAGAUCGGAGACCAAUAGUGUGCCUGUUUGGAUAGGAACUGAAAGUCCGUUUGCUUCUCUUGAAAUGUGUGUGCGUGAUUUCCAAAGUGCUCAAACGCGAAAGAUAAAAAUUGUUUCGCUUACGUUCACGUUCAAUCCAACAUAAAUACAAACAGACCAAGAGUCCAUUCGGCAAGGGGCUUGGGAGUAUAGCUUGGCAAUAAUCUCUUCUAUAAUUCUAUAAACAUGGUUCAUACUUGCUCAAUGUAAGUUGUAUAAAUAUGGUUCAUAUGUAGAUCAAUUGUUUAUUAAAUUACUUUUGUUAGUCAUUUUCUUUUAAACUGCUACAUUCGUUUCUUACUAACGGUUCAUAAAGAGAAAUAAAUAGGUUGUAGGCAUGUAAAGAAAUACAAUUAAUUUUUUUAAAAAAAAUAUAAUUUAUUAUUUAUUUUACCUUUUAUAAUGCAAGUUAUCUCUUAUUUUUUUAGUAUAAACAUUCGGUACUCGGUUACCAUUUGAAUACUGCCAGAUUCGGGAUUUAAUUAUAGUUAAGACUCUUCAUCCCUCCCCUAGAGUUUAUUGUAUGGGGAUAGAACCCGAUAGUUAUUCUCACACACUCAAUCUGAGCUACCCCUCUUAAGAAAAUAUCAAUUAAUACAUUUUAAAAUCCGAAGUGGACAGAAAAAAAAUUGGGAGAGGUAGUAAAUCACAAGCAAAUCCUUCUGAAAAUAUCAAAGAACAACAUCAAUUAACAACAUAAUAAUCAAGGAAAUUUUCUUAGACUCUUAUAAUAAUGUCACUGGUUCCCUUAUCCUAAGAUUUGCUGAAGAUUCAAAUGCACCAGCUCCAUAACUAGAACGACAAGAUGCAAUUUUUCUUUCCUUUUUGCUUUCUUGGAAUACAAUAUGAUGAGGUGAAACUUAGCAGAUGACACAGGCAUUAGGAUUCUCUUCCACACUAGUGUAAUAGUAAUGUGGCUGUCUCAUCAUCUGAUUCUGACAUGCUUCAUAUACCUUCGCAAUAUCAACCAUGUUCUGAUUAUGAUUCUGAUUCUGAUUCUGAUCGGUUUUCUUCUUCUGAUCCUCUGGCUUCUUUCUCUCUUCUUUCUUAGGAGGUUCCUUGGCUGGUCCAACAGAGAGUAUCUCAGUAUGACACAGCUUCCUCAGCUUACCCACCACUGCCACAGGGUCAAUGUCCCCAGUUAAGGUCAGUUUCUGCUCAUUCAUAUCCAUAGAGACUGACUCAAUCCCUGCAUAAAGCAUGUCAGUGUAUAUUUAGAAAUUUUUCUCCUAUUGAUUCUUAACUCAAAAUUCAUGUGGGGAGAGCUAGCAGCUUUUGAAUUUAAAAACUGAUUCUGAUGAAAGACAAGUUAACUCAAACAUGCUAUUUAUCAACUAUGUACAAAAUUACAAGGGGUUGAAAUUCCAUACCUGAAAUAUUAGAGACUUUCUUCAUAGCUUUUUUCUUAAUUUUGUCAUCGAGUAGUUCCACUUUUAGCACUACUUUCUGCCAGAGUGCAAAUAAGAUCGACGAGUGUUAGUUAGGACACUUGUAAUUUAAUCAAUCUAAUAAAGAAAAACACCAAUCUUCAAUUUGUUUUUCAAGAGACGAAAAGACAAGCCUAUGUUGAAAUUUUGACACGAGAUCUAAAGCUUUGAGUGUCAAAGAGUGCCAAAAAAUUAAAAUAAACAUAUAGAUUAUAUAGUUGAUCUAUGAUGAUGAAUGAAUGAUGAACCAUGCAUGGAGCUGGAACUGAAACAGAGCAAAACUAAAAUUAGAAGCUUUCACAAUAAAACUUGGAGGGGUGACAAAUUCUUACAUUCAUUGAUGUGACGCUGGUGAAAAAUAAGGGAAGUUUUGUUUUGGAAGUUCUGGUGUAUGGAAGUUCAGUUGGUUGAAGGUAUUUAAAGAGAAAAAUAAUAAAGCUACAGAGACUAGUGUGUGAGAUAGCGAGAUAGGAAGUCAACCCAAGUCUAUAAUUAUGAAAAAUAACAAUGAUAUAUUCACACCUCAUUUUUUAUACAUUUCAUUUUCACAUAUAUUAUUUCUAUUUUUCUUCUCUUAUUAUUUAUCGCAUCUUAUACUUUCUCUCUCUUACUUUUUCUUUUAUUCCUAACUCUCUCCUCUUUAAGAUGUGAAUGAACGAUUAUUCUUAUAAAAAAUGUUUAUAGGAAGGCUAGUGUUUUGUUUUUUUUUUGGUAAAUUCUUUUCUUUUUGGUAAAUGACUAGUGUUUUGUUUAUGUAUGAAACAAUCAAUCAAUCACGUGCGUUAAUACAUAAAAACCGUCAUAAAAAAUUUAAUAUAGAUUAAUUUCACAUAUUUCAAUAAUAUUGGAACUAAAAGCUAUAACAUCUUUUUAAGGAACCGAAUUCAAUUCAUAGGAAUUAAAAACAUGGUUAACCAUUUACUUGUUUAUUUUUGUCAAAGUGCCACAGCCAAAAUAAAAUUGAAGCUAGGUGUAAAGGGGUCUCGCAAUCAAGAGCGUGUUGACCUUUGUUGGUAAUGGAUUAAGUGUGUGUUUGGAUUUCCAUGUUAAAUUCAAUGUAGAUUCAUAUUGAAAAUAACCUGUUAAAAUUAUGCAUCUACAAUUUAUGUUAAAUUUAAUGUGACGAAUUUCAACUUCUUUGAAAUACGUGAAAUCAAAUUUACUACUACUAACCUCUCUAAGAGCAUCUUCAAUGGAGUCCUUAUUUUGGGACCUUAAAAUAAGAUCCGGAUCUUAUUAGAUCUCACCAUUAGAGCUAUCCUACAUGGCAUGAGAUCUUAGCAAAAGCUAAGAUCCGUGCCUUAGCUCAGGUACUCUCAAAUGUGAGAUCUUAAAUAAAAUAAUAUUUUUUUUCUCUCCUUCAAUACCAUAAUCAAAGUGAAAAUUAGGGAGGAAAAUAAAUAAUAUAAAAUAUAUUGAGUACUGUGGGCUCAGACAAAAGUAAAAUAAGAUAUCAACCAUUAGAGUAAAAUGUGUAUGAAGACCUUAUGAGUGUCUUAAAUCCUAUGUGGCAAUUUGGGCCCACAAAAAUUGAGUUAAGUCCCAAAAUAAGUUUAUACCAUUGGAGAUGCUCUAACAAGCUUCUAUGCUCUUUGAUUUUAAUAUAUUAUCCAUUUAAAAAAAAAACCCUCUAACAAUAAACAAAGAUAGACUAAGUGAUUUAAUGCUGCACAAGAAAGUGCAAUAACAACAUACGAAGAGGAACAAAAGAAACACACUUUAGCCAACCAACAAAGAAAGAAAAACAGAAUUGACAAGAAAAGGCUAGCAAAGGAACCCCCUGGAGAUGGUUAUGGCCCAUCACAAUUAAGUGGGCCCAGCAGAAAAUAUCUAUUUGAUAUCUGAGGCCCGUACUCAUAGCUUUUGGUCCCACUAAUCACCUCAUGACGGAAGGGAGAAUCUUGGGCCGAUGGGUUUCAGGCACAAACCCUCCUUAACACGUAAGUAACGCCUUCCCGUGUCGUUUUUGUUCAGCAACCGACUCUUUCCUAUGUCCUUCAUACUUCACAGUUUUCAAUUAUUCUAUAACUAUUUUGUGGACCUUGGACUUCCUUUAAAUAAAAAAUAUUGGUGAGAAAAAGUUGAAGUGAAGUUAUAUCUGAAAAUAUCGUAUGAAAAUAUCUAUGUUUAUAGUGCAACCUUAUUUUAAUAAUCUAAAUGUGAUAAAAUAUCUUAAUUUGUCACAUUUUAUAUUCCCAAUCAAUUUUGUUAGCUUUAUUAUUUUUUCUUUUGUUAGCUUUAAUAAAACAUGAAAAACAAGAUAAUAUCUAAAUUAACAUGGGUGCUUCAAUGGGGAUAAAUUUACCCAUUAGUGUGUUAAAUCUUUCUAAUGAUUAUUCAGCAAUUUAAACUUAAAUUAUUAUUCUUAUUAAGAAUUUAAUUUGUCUAUUACUAAACUAACGCAUCGAGCAUGUUUAGGCUGUGUUACUUGUGGUAUGAAAAAAAUCAUAUUUGCACAAUUUUCUUUUUAUCCUUUUACAUGAUUGGAAGUUCACAUGGCACUAGCAGGAAUUGUAUCCCUUGGAGGAAAUGUGACAAGGCAUAUGUUGUAAAGAUAUGUGCUUUUGACUUUGGAGAUAUUUUGUUCAAAAUGCAGUAAAAAAUGGAGUGGUAAUUAACAAUAUGAUAUUGAUUAUUUUGUUUAUCUUAACGACUUUAUUCAUUAUCUAAAAUUUCUAAUUUGUCCAUGCAUGAUGUGUAAAAAAAUAUGGAAUAUCCAUUAUAAAUUGAAUUGCAAUUAAUAGAAAUAUUUAUCUCAAACAAGUUUCACUUAAAGCAAAAAGGUAUAAAAGAAGAAAAACAUUUUUCACAAUUGAAACCAACUAACUCUCAUGCUUGUACUUGUAAGAAAAUCAACAUUCCAAUAAGUAAAAUCAUUUAGAGCAAAAGUUGGGUCACUUUUUCCAUGAUACAUUGCCUCCAUCUCCAUCCUUGUAUUGUAUAUAUAAAAAAAAAGACAUUAGAAAAUAGUUAGAAGGAAGAACACCAAGCUUUAUUAAAACGCAAACCUAGGAAAAUAAAAACACUUGAUUUGUCAAAUGUUAUGGCCAGCAAGGAUUGGCAGUUGUAAAUACUACUUUAGAUUCUGCAGUUAAAGCCAUUUUCUUUCUCUUUGAAACCCCACGAAAAUGGUGUCAGAAAACCCGAAUGCUUCAGAGGCUAUAUACUUGGAACCCUUAGCAGAUUCGGUGGAGGACCCUGCCAAGAAGACACGCAAACCAUUCACCAUCACCAAGUCUAGAGAGAACUGGACCGAACCUGAGCAUGAUAAGUUCCUUGAAGCUCUUCAACUGUAAGAAAAUGAAAAGUUUUCCUUUUUUUUCAUCUUCUUCUUCUUAUUUUGUUCUCAGAAUGUAGUGUGUGAAUUUUGAAGUUCAACUGAGACAUGGGUUUUAGUGGUACCCUUGUGUGUGUGUGUGUGUCACUGUUUGAGUCA
rnacentral:lncRNA from 1 species